AUUGAACGCUGGCGGAAUGCUUUACACAUGCAAGUCGAACGGCAGCACGGACUUCGGUCUGGUGGCGAGUGGCGAACGGGUGAGUAAUGUAUCGGAACGUGCCCAGUCGUGGGGGAUAACGUAGUGAAAAUUACGCUAAUACCGCAUACGAUCUAUGGAUGAAAGCGGGGGAUCGCAAGACCUCGCGCGAUUGGAGCGGCCGAUAACAGAUUAGGUAGUUGGUGGGGUAAAGGCCCACCAAGCCAACGAUCUGUAGCUGGUCUGAGAGGACGGACAGCCACACAGGAACUGAGACACGGUCCAGACUCCUUCGGGAGGCAGCGGUGGGGAAUUUUGGACAAUGGGCGAAAGCCUGAUCCAGCCAUUCCGCGUGCAGGAUGAAGGCGCGCGGGUUGUAAACUGCUUUUGUACAGAACGAAAAGGUUUCUACUAAUACUAGGAGCUCAUGACGGUACUGUAAGAAUAAGCACCGGCUAACUACGUGCCAGCAGCCGCGGUAA
rnacentral:rRNA from 1 species